GUACGCGCCGCUGACAAUUCCCGCGUAUACUGCUGGCGCGCCUGCAGAGAGCACCUGCCGCGGAAGGAGACUGCUGCGCCAAGAAAGCUACAUUUUUUCACUUUGUGACUUUUUGAAGGCGGCGUUUUUUUUGUUUUUUUUUUAUAUAAGUGUGUGUUCCAGAAUGAUGCCUCAAACCUGGAGAGCCAUUUUCAACUUGGCCUUUGCUGAUGGCACGUUUUUUAAUGAUGUGUGGCAAGUUACGCAGCGGGAACAAACUUUAAGCGCGUGAAUCAAAAGGACAUUUUGUAAAUAAAUGAAGGAACGUGAGUCACCCCUUGCUUGAGAGCAUCUAACGUUUCCGCGGCUCUGGAUUGGAGAGACAGAAGAAGUCGUGAUCAUCGCGGAGGGGAUUGCUAUAAGAACGUGGAGGUGAUGCACCGAUGAUACAACAUGGGUCCAAUGCUGAAUGAUGGCCGAGUGACACAUCUCCUCUUUCCUCUCCUCUUUCUUUUGCGGGUUCCUUUAUUGUUGAGCUUUGGCGAGCGUACAUGCCCCAACAGUUGUCGUUGUGAGGGGAAAACCGUUCAUUGUGAUUCAUCUGGCUUCUUAGAUGUCCCAGAAAACAUUUCAGUUGGGUGCCAGGGCCUCUCCCUGCGCUAUAAUGAACUGCACACCCUGUUACCUUAUCAAUUUGCCCACCUGGGUCAGCUUCUCUGGAUAUACUUGGACCACAAUCAGAUUUCAGCAGUUGACAGUCGAGCAUUCCAGGGAGUCCGCAGGCUAAAAGAGCUUAUAAUGAGUUCCAACAAGAUCACGUCCCUGCACAAUUCCACCUUCCAUGGAAUUCCCAAUCUUCGCAGUCUAGACUUGUCGUAUAACAAGUUGGAAAUCCUGCAGCCAGGUCAAUUCCAUGGUUUGCGAAAGCUUCAAAACCUGCACUUACGGUCAAAUGGUCUCUCUAAUAUCCCUAUAAGAGCCUUCCUAGAGUGCAGAAGUUUGGAGUUUCUGGAUUUGGGCUACAACAGAAUCAAGGCUCUUACCCGCACCACCUUUUUAGGGUUACAGAAGCUAAUGGAGUUGCAUCUCGAGCACAACCAGUUCACACGGAUAAACUUUUUUCUGUUUCCUCGACUUGCCAAUCUAAGAUCGCUUUAUUUGCAGUGGAACCGCAUUAAGGUGGUCAACCAGGGACUUCCGUGGACGUGGUAUACACUGCAGAAACUUGAUUUAUCUGGAAAUGAGAUCCAGACCCUAGACCCAGCUGUGUUCCACUGCUUGCCCAACCUUCAAGUUCUCAACCUGGAAUCCAACAAACUGUCCAAUGUAUCACAAGAGGCGGUGUCAGCGUGGAUCUCACUGACUUCCAUCAGCCUUGCCGGGAACAUGUGGGAUUGUGCCACAGGCAUUUGUCCACUCGUGGCUUGGUUGAGGAAUUUCCGUGGCACGAAAGACACCACUAUGAUAUGCAGCAGCCCAAAAUAUCUCCAAGGAGAGAAAAUUAUGGAGGCCACAAGAAACCACGGUAUUUGUGAGGAAACUGAUUAUGUUCUUACUGAGACACCCUCACCGAUGUCAGAGCUUUUUUCGGAAGUCACCAAUGAGCCAACAUUUGCCCCCACAAGUGGGUCUCCACUGAUGCCACCAACCUAUGGUCCACUCCCACCUUUCAGGCCUCAACCUAUUCCUCAUCCCACACUCCCAGGGCACAUGAGCAAAGAUCCAAGAGACUCAGUAGCUCGUAGUCGGCCCACUCACAUACUACCUCCAGAGAUGGAGCACAUGACUCUACACAAAGUGGUGGUGGGAAGCGUGGCCCUCUUCUUCAGCAUGUCUCUAAUUUUGACAAUUAUCUAUGUACUGUGGCGGCGCUACCCAGGUGCCACUAGAUUACUCCAGCAACGAUCCAUGGUGGGCCGAAGGUGUCGCAAAAAGAGUCCAGAGCCGGAGCAGGACCUAAGUACCCAGCUCCAAGAGUAUUACAUGAGCUACAACCCUGCUGCCACACCAGAGGCAUUGGAAGUGCUCGGCAACGGCACCGGCUCCUGCACUUGCACAAUUUCUAGCUCCAGGGAGUGUGAGGUAUGAUCCAUCGCAUCUGCCUAAAAAUUGAAAUCAAAUUCAAAAUGCAAAGACUCAUCAGCAAGAACGAGUAUACAUGUCCACGCCCCUUACCUGGUGCCUGGCUGGGGGAUCUGACUACCAUCCAUUAGACAGAACUGCUCUGGAUCGUGAUCAGCAUCUUAAUACAAAUGCAAAGGAUAAUUAUGCACAGAACACACAAGGAUCAUGUUCAAAUUGUUCGGUGAAAAAACUCCAACUAAACUCCUCGAAAUUAACAUUCACAAGAAAACUGCAGCCCUAGUUUGAGAUGUAUUAAUACCUUUUUAAUAACUUAUACCCCUGAGGCAGAAAACUUUCAGAAUUUCUGAUACUGAUGGCCUACUGUGUUAGUCAUCACUAACAGGAAAUGACUCAUCUUGACCAUAGUGGAUCUUGUCCCUGUGAGGACGAUGAUGGUGAUUGGUUUCAAGCAAAGAGACAUGCUGUAUGUACAUAUACAAGAGGCUUUAACAAGUGUUACUGAUGAAGAUGCACUCAUCAAGGAGCUCUGCUGGCCCGACAGACCUGUGUGUGAUUUCAAAUUGAUUUUGAUUCCACAGGAGUAAGGUAGAUUUGUUUUUCCAGUUUGAAAAGACCAGAUUGGUGUAUAUGUGCCUCACUGGACCAGGAUCAGUCUUUUGUAUUUGCACAUGUUGGUAAAGAUGAAAACGCUUUACCAGGCGCAAGAUGAGAGAAUCAGUGAAAGCUGAGACUAUCCCAAGCCAAUGACUUUCGCUAUUAUGUGUUUCUUUUUAAUGUAUUUUGUUUGACUUUUUUGUUCAAAAUGGUUUCUUAGGAUGAACGGGCCUCGCCUAUCUGGUCUAAAUAACAGAAAAUGCAAUCAGGAGUAGGGUAGAAAAAAGAGAAAUGCUCAUGCCAUGAAGAAAAUGUACUUUUCUAAGAAUAUAAUGUUAUUAAUGUUGUACUUUAAGGGUAUUUGUUUAUGCCAUUUUUAACAACAAAUAACGAAUGCACUGCUUUUGCUGUUGCCGCUUCUGACCUGAUCAAAAUCUCAAUGAAGUAGUGUUUUCACACAGUGUUUUUUUUCUUUCAGCACAUUUUUACUUCCGUGCCAUUGUAAAAAUCUGACUUAGCAUCUCAUGAACGUCUCAUCAUUAUGUGUGUGAAGUAGAAAGCAUGGUUUCUUCUCACCUGCUGAGUGCAUUCCAUUUCCUCAGGCUGCAUUGGUGAUCAAAUGUUGGCCUAAAAAUGAAAAUAUAACUCAUCACAAAUGAGACAAUUGUCUUCAAUGGAAAGAGUUUAAACUGUAUGGUUUAAAAAAAAAUGAAAUUAUUAUUUUUUUUUAACUUAAAAAGUGAUGUUCUAAAUGCCAUGCUGUUCUCAUAAGAAUCGGGCUGUAAAGCCACAAAACAUAUCUAACUGAGAUUAAUCGUAAUAUUUUCAGAAUUAACUCGCAAUUAAUCUCAUGGGGAUUUUUCACAUCCUGUUUACCUUAAAGAUAUAAUUUUCACAUUAAACUAAUACAGGAGUCAGCCAUGCUUGCUUGAAACAAAUUGUACUAUUCUAGUAUAUUAAACGAUCCACAAGAAUAGCCAAUAUUUUCCAGAUUGUUCCGCACAGUACUUAAAUAGUAAACACAUUCCAGCCGCAUCACUUCUUGUUCUUCCAAAGUACAGGACAUGCAGGCAUUAAUGUUGCAUUAAAAAAAUAGUGGCUUUAAACAGAAUGUGUGUAAUUUUUAGCCCUAAUUUUAAAGUCCUAAUUAUCAUUUAAAAGCAAUAUUAUUGUUGCCGUUCAAAUAUUACAAUAAUAUCAUAUGAGUUACUCUAAGAGUCCCAUCUCAGGUUGAUUAUGACACAAUUAGGGCUGCAACGAACAAUUAUUUUCUUAGUUCGAUUAAUGUUUGAUUAAUCGAGUAAUUGGUUACUGGUUAGUAAUUGGUUAAGAAUGCAUUGCUGGGUGAACGUACAGUCGUCCCUCGCAUGAUCGUAGUUUGAUUAUCACUCCCUUGCUAUAUUGUGGUUUUUCAGAAAUUAAUUAAUUCAUAAUUUUGUGGUAGAUUAUGGUAUAUUAUUAGUCCAAACAUAUUGAAAUACAAGUGAUAUGUAGUAUUCUGGUCACUAGGCGGCAGUAAUGACACAAAACAUUGAGAAAUUACCUUACAUUACCUUAACACUACAUGAAGUCAGCCAUGGCUUGUCCGACAUGAUAGAGUGAAAAAAAGUUCUCCUUGCAUUCCGUGUGGAAGUAAUACGUUUUUGGCUUCUUAAGGGGCUAUCCACACGGAAACGUUUUCAGGUCGAAAUGGCAAAGUAUUUUAUCGUUUCACCCUCUCAUCCACACGGGAACGCUAUUCUGGGUGACCCGGAAUGGUAUUUCUGGAAAACGGCUCCCAGAGUGGGAAAAUCUAAGAACGCCGGCUUGUCGUUGCCGUGAAAUAUCACAUGACCAGAAGUGAGCUUUGACGACAAACCAACAUAAUAGCUGAAUAUUUUGACGUACAUGACUCACCCCAGUCGACAUUGUCCUCAUAUUUUGUUGUCUUAUACCCCAUAAUGACUCGCAGAAGUAAUUUAUCUUCUCGGAAGUCUUGAAAAGCAGAAGACAAGUGACUUUCUUUCUUGUAAUGUAUGAUUUGGUGUGUCACGUGGCUCCCCCCGUGUGUUUGUUCACAGCGCCACACAUAGGUGUGCUUUUGUAUUACAUCAUUUGAUUUGUGAUUCGUUCCCGUCUGGAUGCAACAAUUUACUAAUCCGGCACAUUAUGGACGAGACUUUUUUCAACUCGCCCAAAAAAAAAAAUCUCAGGAACGUUCCCGUGUGGCCUACGUUUAGAAGAAAUAAAUUAGAGGCUAACUGGUUAGCUUGUUAGUUAGCUAGCUUGAUAGCCAGUGCCCGUCUCAUGUCCCUGCAGCAUAAGAGUUGCGCAAUGUGUUGUAAACAAUUAAUAAUAGGAGUGCAAAGUUGGCUAUAGGCGUGUUAUUUCAUGUCUUGAGGGCUCUAAUAAUGUUAAAAACCGUAUUUACAAAUUCCUAAACACUUUUUCUAUGCUCUAACUACGAAAAUAUUACAUUUAUUAAUAGGCACCCAGUUAACGAGACGAAACGAUACACGAGGUUGGGUCUGCGAGAACAAGUUGGGACGAGAUUUUAAUAUUACUUUAAAGGAAAGUACAAUGAAAAAAUGUAUGACAAUAUAUUGCAAUCUGCUAAUUUAAUUUCUACUGCAGUACACUCUUCGGCAUACACACAGAGGUAUGCUAAUGGCCCCGCCUCCACCCACCGAGACAAAGACAUUGAAUGACAAAAGACCUCACCCCGUUCAUGUCGUUGUUCUAUGGAACAAAUGCACCAAGGUGCUGAAACCAAUGCACACAGUGAAUCCUCUUCCAGCCUGUUUGGAGGCGAGAGACGAGGAAAACAGACAAGCAUGCGAUAUAUUGAGGUGGCAAAAUUGCCAAGUGCAUUUUCAUUUAUUGUGUGGUUAAUUCAUUUUUAUUGUCCCAUGUGUAGUGCCCAUGAGAAAUUUUUUUCUCCAAACAAGAAAUCUAUUUUCAAUCUCCCGAGAUCUUGUGGCACAAGAUCUUGUGGUAUCCCUGUUUAUUAACACUGAAUCCUAUAUCACGGAAAUUCAUUUCGCCAAUGAACCGCUAUAAACGAGGGACAACUGUAUGUAGAAUCAAUUAAAACAUGACACAAUGAACCGCAAUAAACGAGGGACAACUGUAUGUAAAAUCAAUUAAAACAUGACACAGAACAAAGCUCGAUUUUAUUCUAAAUUCUUAUGAGAACAGGUUGUUUCAUCACAUCAUCAAAAGGCGCCUCCAUUUCCGUCAUUUGUGAAAGUGCUCUGUUAGUGAAUCAGCUUUCUCUUAUACGUGCAAUGUGUGUGUCUUUGUAAGUCUUGCAGUGGCGGUGUUCACUCAGAGAGCCUGUCCUGUACAGAUAACUGAGCACUUUUUUUUACAUUAAACAACUUGAUUCGCUUUCCUCAAAAUAACCAUCCCACACUCACCACCUUGCUGCGUGCUGUUCUUUGUGUGCUUGUGGUUCAUCCAGUUCUUAAUUAGAAGGUAUAUUAAGUUGUGACUUGUUUCUCCAGACCUUUAAAUGUAACCCUUUCUACACUGGGAAAAGUCAUUUUCUAUUGUAAAUUCCUGCUUCCCUCAUUGUUGAUGCUUAGCGGCUGUGUUCUUUGUUCACUUUCAACUGUUUUUUUCAUGAAAAUAUUGACUUGGUUGGUCAGCAAUAUGAAUUGGUAAAAUAAAAUAUGACUCAGCCAUAUCCUGUUCCUACUCCACAAUUGUAUCUCGUUGUACACUGUGGUAGAUUUCUUCACACCGGGCGAAGACCAGCCUAUUCCCUACGGAUCAACGGUGCCAAAGCUGUCAUAUCAAAAUUAGCCUCAUUAAUUUAGAGAGGAACAUUGAUCUCUGCUUGGCUGUUCUUGUUCACAGCGGCGCCCGCUGCGAGCAGCAACAGCCCUAAUUAUACUUCCUGCAGAAUGUGUUGUAUAUCUCAAGAGGGAGUCGUAUUUAGUGAUUUUUUUCUCUCCCUCAUGCUCGCAGUGCUUGGAACAUGUCAAGCUGUCAGCUCAGAGGUCCAGAUGGUCAAUAAUCACAGAGUCACCUAUCAUACUUUUAGAUAAUCUCCCCUACUUAUAGAGUGUGUUCACCUCCACCAACUCUUCUACUUGUUUCUACUUCUCCGCAACUCGUUACAUUUCUGGUCAUUCCUUACUCUGCUCCGAUCUGUCUGGGAACAUCUGUUGUACCUUGAGAGUCUUUACUCUCUGCAAUCUAUUUCUAGCGAUCAUUCUUUGGUUGCUGGUCGGCUGUCUACAUCAAUUUCAGUUAAAUGUACCCUUUAAAGUGCCAACCGAGUUUGUGUUUCUUUUUGGUGUACAGGGAUUUCUGCUGCCUCAUUGUAAUGGGAACGGAUGGUGCUUCGUUUUUGGUACAGCAAGUAAAAAAUAAUUUUGUUUGCAAUGUAAGUGCUGACUGUGGAGUCUCUGGAUUAUCCUCAGUGACUUGUACAAUGUGUCUGCAAAUAUACGCCUGCAGCUUUUUCAGAGUGAUUUUCCAGUUAUUUGGGGGACAAAAUUCAAUUUACCAUCACGGUUUGCUUGAAAGCACAAGCAGCCAUGGAGUUGCCAUAAUCCCAAAACCGGGCCCUUGAAAUGAAACUGGCAUUAACAAUGAUCAGAUAACAAUAAAAAGAGUGCAUUUUUAGAAGAAUGUUAAAAUGACAGGAAACAUGACCAGUUGAUUUUGACUGUUUCAAGCAUUUUACAAAUGCCGACUCAUCAGUAGAUUCUUGUUUCUUACUAGAGCUGGGCUAUAUGGCCUCAAAUCAAUAUUGCGACAAAUUGGGCAGUUUUACCUCGAUAACGACAAAUGCAUGAUAAAUCCCCGACCACUAUAUAUCUUUGCCAUCUGAAAAUAAUUACAGGAAAUGCAAAUUAACUGCUUUUCGGUGAUUUAUUGACCAACUGGCACACAUUACUUUCAAUGAAAUAUAAUACACGUAAUGGGACACACCUAUUCCGCCUAUAAAGCCUUCUGAAAAAAACGCCAAAAAUGCUCCAUUUCCAUAAUGUGCUUUGGGUGGCUACGACAGUUUUCAUACUGACUUUGCAUAUUGCGUUCUUUAGCUCAACAUCAUCUUUGUGGAACCCAAAAUAAAUCUCUCUGGGACUGCAGUCCACAAAUAUGAAUGUAUGGCAUACGACAUCCUGUACGCACGUGUACUAAGCUACACAUACAGACACAUAACAUGACUGACAUCACGUCUCAUGCAAUUACAUGACUAAUGGCCACUUAUCACACUGCACAAGAAGAACGGCGUUGAUAUCAACCCAACCUUCCACAACCAUGUCAGGAAUGAACAUAGCGUGCCAGCACACACAAUCAAAACAGACAAAAAAAUAAUUUUAUUUUCUUUUUUAUUAAAACACCAAAUUUAUCGACACGGGCAAAAUGACGUCGGUGAUCGUGGUAAAUUUCGGUAACAGUAAAUUUUCAGUUUAUCGCCAAGGCUUAUUUCUUACCAUAGGGUUUGAGCAGACAGAGUUUGUUUGGAACCAGUCCGAGACCACCUCUCAGACCCAAGUUCGGUUAUAGUGUUCAGACUUGAACAAACGAACAGUGCCAAGGGCCAAAACGAACUAGAGUUAACUUAAAACAGACCAAAGGGUGAUAAGGUGUGAAAUAUGGAACAACUUUGGUUCCGUUUGGUCUUUGCAACUAUUGCCAAGUUCUCGCAAAGUAUCUUUUAAAGGUUUCCAUCAGACUUCAAUAAAUCAACUAGGUACUUCAAAUAGCACAGUGGACCAUCAGUUGUCAAACAUCCCAGUUUUCAUAUGAUGCAGUUUUCGAUGAAGUUUUGGCCCAGAUUUUGCCGUGGUUCUCGUACAGUCUUAGUCAUCAUACAAUAUUGCACAUAACAAACUGUUACUGUUUAUUGUACUCUUUGGUACGUUGAAUCUUGUGGUAUUCAUAAAGAUGUAUAUGGCCUACUCCCAGCAUUGCUUGUUUAUUCUGCCAUCUUUGGUUACACACCCAACACCAAAUCUCACGAUACUUAGUUUGCACAAUGCUUUUAGACUCAUUCAUUUGGCAAAUUCAAAUAAGAAUGUUCGACAAACUAGUCAGUUUGCCUGUGUUUCAUUCCGCGGACACAAGUGCCCAAAGAAUCCCGAGUCU